AGCGAACGCUGGCGGCAGGCCUAACACAUGCAAGUCGAACGGAUCCCUCGGGAUUAGUGGCGGACGGGUGAGUAACACGUGGGAACGUGCCCUUUGGUUCGGAACAACUCAGGGAAACUUGAGCUAAUACCGGAUGUGCCCUUCGGGGGAAAGAUUUAUCGCCAUUGGAGCGGCCCGCGUCUGAUUAGCUAGUUGGUGAGGUAACGGCCCACCAAGGCGACGAUCAGUAGCUGGUCUGAGAGGAUGAUCAGCCACACUGGGACUGAGACACGGCCCAGACUCCUACGGGAGGCAGCAGUGGGGAAUCUUGCGCAAUGGGCGAAAGCCUGACGCAGCCAUGCCGCGUGAAUGAUGAAGGUCUUAGGAUUGUAAAAUUCUUUCAGCGGGGACGAUAAUGACGGUACCCGCAGAAGAAGCUCCGGCUAACUUCGUG
rnacentral:rRNA from 1 species